AUUGAACGCUGGCGGCAGGCUUAACACAUGCAAGUCGAACGAGUGGCAGACGGGUGAGUAAUGCUUGGGAAUCUAGCUUGUGGCGGGGGAUAACUACUGGAAACGGUAGCUAAUACCGCAUACCAUCAGAUGAACCCAUAUGGGAUUAGCUUGUAGGUGCUGUAACGGCUAACCUAGGCGACGAUCCCUAGAUGGUCUGAGAGGAUGAUAGGCCAACAUGGGACUGAUACAGGCGCCAGUGCCCGACGGUAGGCAGCAGUGGGGAAAAUCGCACAACGGGGUCAAUCAUGAUUCAGGCAUGGCGGGUGUAGGAAGAAGGCCUUGGGGUUUUAAAGUACUUUCAGUCGGGAGGCGUUACCGACAGAAUAAGCACCGGCUAACUCCGUGCCAGCAGCCGCGGUAAUAC
rnacentral:rRNA from 1 species